AUUGAACGCUGGCGGCAUGCUUUACACAUGCAAGUCGAACGGUAACAGGUUAAGCUGACGAGUGGCGAACGGGUGAGUAAUGCAUCGGAACGUGCCCGGUCGUGGGGGAUAACGCAGCGAAAGUUGCGCUAAUACCGCAUACGAUCUGAGGAUGAAAGCGGGGGACCGUAAGGCCUCGCGCGAUCGGAGCGGCCGAUGUCAGAUUAGGUAGUUGGUGGGGUAAAGGCUCACCGAGCCAACGAUCUGUAGCUGGUCUGAGAGGACGACCAGCCACACUGGGACUGAGACACGGCCCAGACUCCUACGGGAGGCAGCAGUGGGGAAUUUUGGACAAUGGGCGAAAGCCUGAUCCAGCAAUGCCGCGUGCAGGAAGAAGGCCUUCGGGUUGUAAACUGCUUUUGUACGGAGCGAAAAGGUCUCCUCUAAUACAGGGGGCUCAUGACGGUACCGUAAGAAUAAGCACCGGCUAACUACGUGCCAGCCGCCGCAGUAA
rnacentral:rRNA from 1 species